ACACACACACACACACACGAAAGGCAGUGUGAGGACAUGGCAAAAAGCAGCUCCGCCCCUGCAGGAGGCCUGGCCCUGGCGGCGGCACCUCUCGGUCCCCGCGGUAACUCUUGCGCAUGGGUCCCAGGUCCAUGGCAGCACUGCGACCACACAGGUGACUGAGGUAGCCUGGCCACUCGGCAGGUCGCCCGAACGUCGCCGUGACGCCCCGCAGCCAGCACGUCAUGGGGGGCCGCCGGCCACGUGACCCGGCUGUGGCCCGACACUGGGUUCCUUUGAGUUCGGAACCAAUUUCUCACCCUGGACUUCUACCCCGGGGAAGGAAGGAUUUGCCAGUCGCCCAACCAAGCUAACAGGUCCUAAGUCCUCGGAGC
rnacentral:lncRNA from 1 species